rnacentral:rRNA from 1 species
UGAGUAACACGUGGGAACGUGCCCUUUGGUUCGGAACAACUCAGGGAAACUUGAGCUAAUACCGGAUGUGCCCUUCGGGGGAAAGAUUUAUCGCCAUUGGAGCGGCCCGCGUCUGAUUAGCUAGUUGGUGAGGUAAAGGCUCACCAAGGCGACGAUCAGUAGCUGGUCUGAGAGGAUGAUCAGCCACAUUGGGACUGAGACACGGCCCAAACUCCUACGGGAGGCAGCAGUGGGGAAUCUUGCGCAAUGGGCGAAAGCCUGACGCAGCCAUGCCGCGUGAAUGAUGAAGGUCUUAGGAUUGUAAAAUUCUUUCACCGGGGACGAUAAUGACGGUACCCGGAGAAGAAGCCCCGGCUAACUUCGUGCCAGCAGCCGCGGUAAUACGAAGGGGGCUAGCGUUGCUCGGAAUUACUGGGCGUAAAGGGAGCGUAGGCGGACUGUUUAGUCAGAGGUGAAAGCCCAGGGCUCAACCUUGGAAUUGCCUUUGAUACUGGCAGUCUUGAGUACGGAAGAGGUAUGUGGAACUCCGAGUGUAGAGGUGAAAUUCGUAGAUAUUCGGAAGAACACCAGUGGCGAAGGCGACAUACUGGUCCGUUACUGACGCUGAGGCUCGAAAGCGUGGGGAGCAAACAGGAUUAGAU